CAGGGCAGCCAUAUCACCCUGUAGCCCAAGCCCAAGUGGUUACCCACUGAAGCUAAGCAGGGCUGAGCCUGCUCAGUACCUGGAUGGGAGACCUCCUGGGAAAACUAGGUUGCUGCUGGAA
ensembl:rRNA 5S_rRNA 5S ribosomal RNA